UGGGACUAUAUAAUAAACAGAACAUUACACGGUGGCUUGAAGAUAUGACUUUUAUCUUCUCGUGUUAAAAACGAUAUUUUACUCGUAAAAUAUAAGAUAAAAGUCCUAUCUUCGUGCCGCCGUGUAAUAUCCUCUAUAUACAAAAGCUAUCACGUGAUAAAAAUAAACUAAUCAGAUGCUUUUAUGUGUUUUUUCGAUCCACACUACUUACCUCCAGACGUAGGGCCUUCGCUCAAAACUUCGAAGUUCGUUUUCAGUUUUGUAUUUUUCCGGUAGUUGUAUCACGUCCAAAGUAGGCUUGGGCGGUUUACCUGUUUUUCGGUUUUAUUUUCAAACCGUUUUUUUUCGGUUUAGCUUUUACAGAAACCAGAAAACCGUCAUUACGUAAUUAUUUACUGUCAUCGCCCGAAACUCGAUCUUAAUUCUCGAAACAUGACGCUAAUUAAACUCAAUUACAUGACACUAAAUAAAAAUUAUAUUAUUUUUCCGUAAAGUCGGUAAGAACUAAAGACUGAGGUAUAAGUUUUCAAAUGCGUUCUUGACCCUUUUAUUUUAAAACUGAAGUCGUUUUAGGUUACCUUUACACAAUUUUGCGUUUUGUCGUGCCUGUUCGUUUCCUUCACAUUCAGUUGAAGUAAAAAUUAAAGGGAAAAAAAAACUGGUUUUACCGGUUUAGAAUCAGACUUUAAGUAAAACCGCCCAAGCCUAGUCCAAAGACCACAAUUUGUUACCCUCUCCUACCUACACUGGCAUCCACCGUUUGGUUGUUUGUAAGUAGGGUGUCUACAGAUCUUAUUCAUCAAUGGUCUGCCGAAUAUCACAAUCUCAGCUCUUCAUUUUGACCUAUAAUUGCAAUGUACUUGAUUAUUAAUGCUUGUUAUAAUGAGGAUGACUUAAAUGGCAAUCUCGGUUUGAACAAAGUCAAUAGCCUUGGAAAUCAUUAGAAUAACAAUGUAACUCAUUACUAUGUUAGGCAACGUUUAUGCAAAAAUGUGAUCCUUGGUUGUCAGCAUGCAUAUUGAAUUUUCGCCAAAUCUACAAACAGCAAUUUUUAAGUUACCCAAUUAUUGAAGUCACGGAUAGUCGGGAUAGAUAACUUUCCUAAAACAUUGCUAUUGGUUGAUUUGGCAAAAAUACAAUACGCACGGGACAACGAAGGACCUAAUUUUUACACAAACGUUGAAUAGGC